AUUGAACGCUGGCGGCAGGCCUAACACAUGCAAGUCGAACGGUAACAGGAAGAAGCUUGCUUCUUUGCUGACGAGUGGCGGACGGGUGAGUAAUGUCUGGGAAACUGCCUGAUGGAGGGGGAUAACUACUGGAAACGGUAGCUACUACCGCAUAACGUCGCAAGACCAAAGAGGGGGACCUUCGGGCCUCUUGCCAUCGGAUGUGCCCAGAUGGGAUUAGCUAGUAGGUGGGGUAACGGCUCACCUAGGCGACGAUCCCUAGCUGGUCUGAGAGGAUGACCAGCCACACUGGAACUGAGACACGGUCCAGACUCCUACGGGAGGCAGCAGUGGGGAAUAUUGCACAAUGGGCGCAAGCCUGAUGCAGCCAUGCCGCGUGUAUGAAGAAGGCCUUCGGGUUGUAAAGUACUUUCAGCGGGGAGGAAGGGAGUAAAGUUAAUACCUUGGCUCAUUGACGUUACCCGCAGAAGAAGCACCGGCUAACUCCGUG
rnacentral:rRNA from 1 species